rnacentral:antisense_RNA from 1 species
ACAUGCCUCUGCUGUACGCCUCGGCCACAGGACACAGAGCACUAAGAAGACAGAGAACAGCCCUGCAAAGCUAAUCUGCUCAACCUUCACCUACUGGGUUCAAUGAAUAUGAAAAGCUGCCUUCCUGAAACUUUUCCUUCAAAGAGGGAAUGAUCUCCUGGAAUUCAAGCUUCUACAGGGUGGCUACCUGGUGUUUUCCACUUUUGCCGUCUCCUAAAAAGCAUCAAUCAAGCCUUGCCCUUUCAACCCACUGAACACAUAAACAUGCUUUCUCCUUAACUGAACUUAUGGCCACGAUGAACUUGAACUCUGAGAUUCACAGAGGAGAGUUUGUUUUAACAGCUGCUUUUACAAUGAAGCCCUGGAGUUACUACUCUCAAGACCCCUGGUUCUGAUAGGCCAUCUUUUCACUGUCCUCUGCAUUUUCUAAUGCCCAGCUGUCAAGGAACACCCACUGAAGUUUUCCAAAACAAAGGCACGAAACACAAGAAAGGCAAGAGAAUGCUAAUCACCAGAGGCAUGGGCAUCCUAUGGGGGAACCCCUUACAUGUGGAAUACGGU